UGGGGAAUAUUGGACAAUGGGGGAACCCUGAUCCAGCAAUGCCGCGUGUGUGAAGAAGGCCUGAGGGUUGUAAAGCACUUUCAGAGGGGAGGAGGACUAUUAGGUUAAGAGCUAGAUAGUUGGACGUUACCCUCAGAAGCAGCACCGGCUAACUCCGUGCCAGCAGCCGCGGUAAUACAUGUGGGGCAAGCGUUGUUCGGAAUUACUGGGCAUAAAGGGUGCGUAGGCGGUUUGUUAAGUCACUGGUGAAAGUUUGCGGCCCAACCGUAAAAUUGCCUGUGAUACUGGCGAACUUGAGUGCGUGAGGGUAGGGGAACGAGCAGUGUAGCGGUGAAAUGCGUAGAUAUUGCUCGGAAGGCCGGAGCCGAAGGGGCCCUACUGGUACGUAACUGACGCUGAGGCACGAAAGCGUGGGGAGCAAACAGGAUUAGAUACCCUUGUAGUCCCUG
rnacentral:rRNA from 1 species